UACGAAGGGGGCUAGCGUUGCUCGGAAUCACUGGGCGUAAAGGGUGCGUAGGCGGGUCUUUAAGUCAGGGGGGAAAUCCUGGAGCUCAACUCCAGAACUGCCUUUGAUACUGAAGAUCUUGAGUUCGGGAGAGGUGAGUGGAACUGCGAGUGUAGAGGUGAAAUUCGUAGAUAUUCGCAAGAACACCAGUGGCGAAGGCGGCUCACUGGCCCGAUACUGACGCUGAGGCACGAAAGCGUGUGGAGCAAACAGG
rnacentral:rRNA from 1 species